CACCUGAGUCUGACAUCGUAGAAGGACCAUUUUUGUAUCAGAUUGAAUUUUGCAGCUGAGUCUGACAUCGUAGAAGGACCAUUCUGGUAUCAGAUUGGAUUUUGCACCUGAGUCUGACAUCGUAGAAGGACCAUUCUGGUUACAGAUUG